rnacentral:rRNA from 1 species
UACGUAGGGUGCAAGCGUUAAUCGUAAUUACUGGUCGUAAAGCGUGCGAAGGCGGUUUUGUAAGUCUGUCGUGAAAGCCCCGGGCUCAACCUGGGAAUUGCGAUGGAGACUGCAAGGCUUGAAUCUGGCAGAGGGGGGUAGAAUUCCACGUGUAGCAGUGAAAUGCGUAGAGAUGUGGAGGAACACCGAUGGCGAAGGCAGCCCCCUGGGUCAAGAUUGACGCUCAUGCACGAAAGCGUGGGGAGCAAACAGG